ensembl:lncRNA
CCCUCUUCCCUAUAUAGUGCACUGCUUUGGAGGGGAAGAAAGGUUAACCAUUUUUCAGGAUGCUCUCUUAUCUGUUUCAACAAAAUGACCAUCAGUCUGAUGUCCCCCACUGAGAGACUGUCCUUCCAUCAGUCUGAUGUCCCCCCACUGAGAGACUGUCCUUCCAUCAGUCUGAUGUCCCCCACUGAGAGACUGUCCUUCCAUCAGUCUGAUGUCCCCCCACUGAGAGACUGUCCUUCCAUCAGUCUGAUGUCCCCCACUGAGAGUCCUUCCAUCAGUCUGAUGUCCCCCCCCCACUGAGAGGCAGUCCUUCCAUCACUCUGAUGUCCCCCCACUGAGAGACAGUCCUUCCAUCAGUCUGAUGUCCCCCCACUGAGAGACAGUCCUUCCAUCAGUCUGAUGUCCCCCCACUGAGAGGCAGUCUGAUGUCCCCCCACUGAGAGGCAGUCUGAUGUCCCCCCC